rnacentral:lncRNA from 1 species
UGAGAAAGGAGGAGAGAGGAAAGGUGUCUGCAGCACAACAGCCAACACUUCUGGAGCACAUGGCCCUGCAGUGAAGGAUUCUGGAGCUCACAUUUGUCUGAAGGGGAUCCGAGGAGGUUCUGUGUUGUUGAAUGUGAUUGAGAAGCUCAGAGUAGAUGUAGACGCCGAGCUGGAGGAGAGCCUGUGCCUCAUCCUGAGAUCCUGGCCAAGUCACUGUCUAUCAUACCAGGCUUGUGUAACAUCACCCUGGAUUGUAGGGCUCCAGGAGCCACAGAGGACCUGAAUGUGACUUGGGAGAGCAAGGACCUCCUCAGAGAGCUGGAGCACAGAGAAACACGAGGACCAGCCCCUAACCCCUGGAUCCUGGCUGUGGACCUGCCCCUGAGCCAGCGGAACAGCAAUCUCACCUGUGUGGUCAGCAACUAGGUAGAUCAGAAAGAUGUAACCUUACCUUGGGGAAGCCUGUGUCAAGGUGAGUGGUGAGUGUAGCCUGCAAGAUAGGAGGGGCUUCCUGAGCUCAGGCAGUACUGGGGUUUAAUGGUUCUGGGCUCUAUUCUCCACCAUGUGCAUUAGCACCACCUUCCACCUGCUCACCACACACAGCAGUGUGGGAGUCACAUCCACCUUGCUUCUGCCCUUAACCAUCUCUCCCACCGAUGCCCUCCUCCCCACAACCCCACCAUGUCCUUAUUGGUAAAGGCAGCAGCCUUCCGGGAGCUCUCCCACUCCAUCCAUCCUCCACUGGGCAUCCAGAGUGGGCUUUGAGAAAAGCAGGACAGCUUGUGCCAUUGUCUGUGUCAUCUGUGGGAACCUGAUUCCAGCCACUCUCCGUAUGAUUCAGAGCUUAGAUGCACCUCUGUCCACGUUGCUAGCCUCAUCUGCUCUCUUCACACCAAACUGCUUGCUAUAGUUCUCUGAAUGUAUCCUGCCAUUGCAAGCUUCUGGGCUUCUGCACAUGCUGGAUUUUCUGUAUCAGCCAUCCCAAGUCCUGUGUCCUUCACUUCUGCUUCAUGGGGUGAAGACCAUGUAAAGGCCCCAUGUUUGGUUUAAAGUUCUGUUAAUAAGUUUGAACAAGGGCUUCCUAUUUUCAUUCUGCAUAGGGCCUUUUCAGUUAUGUAUCCAGUCCUGAACUUAGGCAGCAAUCCUUUAGGGAGCGUCCAUGGCACCCCACACAGAGUAGUAGUGGUGGGGUUAUGUCUUUGCUCUGUAGAUGGCAAUGCCCUCAGGCAGAGGCCACCAUCAUGUUCUCCUUUGAAUCCCUGUGCCAAGUACAGCUUCUGGCAAAGUUUGCUCACAAUCAGUGUUCAUUGGAUGAAUGAAUGACUUGGUACCCUGGUGCAGUCACAUCUUCUCUAACCUUUCCUCCAGGAGCUGCCGGAGAGCUCUGAUGUGUCAGCAUCCCUUUAAACCACCCGUUACCUCCUCCCCUGUCCUCCAUCCUGGAGUGUUCAGUACUUAGCGUGACAACAAGGCCCUCUGGGCACAGACUCCUGCCCCCUCUGACUCUCCUUGCCAUGGUUCCUCCCUGCCCUGUUCCUCUCCUGCUGCAAUGGGGUGCUGGCAACUCCCAGGGCUGGUGUUUUGACACAGUAAUUUCCUAAGUGUGGUGCUCCUUCUUCCUGGAAUGCCCCACCCUGAAUAUCUGAGAAACUCUUACUCCCGCUUCAAGCCUCAGUUUAGCCAGCACCUCCUCUGGGAGGCCCUCCCUGAUGACCUUGUACAAGGUGUAAACCUCUAUUGCAGCUGCGAUCCCUCUGUCUGGCAGUUGGUAUUUUCUGUCUUCCCUCCUGUGUGCUGGGCUGCUGUGGACAUCGUCUUGUGCAUCUCAGCAUUCCUGGCACCAAGCAACAGCUCUUAACCAGUUGAAUGAAUGGACUUGUCAUGCUCCUCCCUCUGCAGCUUCUGCACCAGGCUCCUUCCCACUGCUCCACCUGCUUUCUCCCUCUGUCUCCUCUUGGCAAUGGUUAUGUCAAGUUAUUUCCUGCCUUAGCCUUUUUCACUCUCUGUCUGGGAGAACAGGUUCAUGUAGACUGGACACGGCUCUCCUUCGCGAGAUAUUCUUGGAGUCAUUGCAUUUGUGCUGUUGAUCCUGGGAGCUGGGCUAUACCUCUGGAAGAAAUGUGGGAAGAAGAAGAAGAAGAAAGAUGAAGAGGAAGAAGAGGAAGAGGAGCAGAAGGAGGAGGAGGAGCGGGAGGAGACAGGAAUAGGCAGGUUGCAUUUCUCCAUCGAGGCCCAGAUAUCUCCCCUCCCCCACUAGAAUCUGGGUUCUCUUUCUCCUGAAAGAAUGUCAUUGUUUAGCUAUAUGAAUAACCCUAGAUAUAGCAUCGAGUUAACAUGUCCAAGAUAUUUGUUACUGGAAAAAACUGAACAGCAAUGCAUGGUAUGAUUUAAUUUUUGUAAAAGUGUAUAGAUAGGUAGAUAGAAAGAUAAGCACAGAAUAAAAUCUAUACUACA